rnacentral:misc_RNA from 1 species
GAUAAGAACGUAGCGAAAUGCGAUACGUAAUGUGAAUUGCAGAAUUCAGUGAAUCAUCGAAUCUUUGAACGCAUAUUGCGCUCUCUGGUAUUCCGGAGAGCAUGCUUGUUUGAGUAUCAGUAAACACCUCAACUUCCAUAUCUUUUUUGAAAUGGGAGUUGGACUUGAGUGAUCCCAACGCUUUUCCUCACCGAAAAGUGGCGGGUUACUUGAAAUGCAGGUGCAGCUGGACUUUUCUCUGAGCUAUAAGCAUAUCUAUUUAGUCUGCCUAAAAAACAGAUUAUUACCUUUGCUGCAGCUAACAUAAAGGAGAUUAGUUCUUGUGCUGACUGAUGCAGGAUUCACAAAGACGGCUUCGGCCGACUUUGUAAACUCGAUCUCAAAUCAAGUAAGACUACCCGCUGAACUUAAGCAUAUCAAUAAGCGGAGGA